GGGGGCAUGUGCACGCUCUGUUUACACAUCCACUCACACCUGUGCACCCUCUGUAGUUCUGUGGCCUUGGGGGCUCCUGCCCCCUUGCUGUGGUCCUACGUCUUUACACACACCCCGUAACAAAGUCUCAUGGAAUGUACAUCGCGUUUAACGCAAUACAAUACAACUUUCAGCAACGGAUCUCUUGGCUCUCGCAUCGAUGAAGAACGCAGCGAAAUGCGAUAAGUAAUGUGAAUUGCAGAAUUCAGUGAAUCAUCGAAUCUUUGAACGCACCUUGCGCCCUUUGGCUAUUCCGAAGGGCAUGCCUGUUUGAGUAUCAUGAACACCUCAACUCUCAUGGCGCUUGUCAUGAUGAGCUUGGACUUUGGGGGUCUUGCCGGCAUACUGUCGGCUCCUCUCAAACGAAUCAGCUUGCCAGUGUUUGGUGGCAUCACAGGUGUGAUAACUAUCUACGCUUGUGGUUCCCCACCAGGCAACCUCCAGUGAUGGAGGUUCGCUGGAGCUCACAAAUGUCUCUCCUCAGUGAGGACGGC
rnacentral:rRNA from 1 species